UCCAGGUGUGGUGGCGGGCACCUGUAGUCCCAGCUACUCGGAGGCUGAGGCAGGAGAAUUGCUUGAACCUGGGAGGCAGAGGUUGCCGUGAGCCGAGAUCGCGCCACUGCACUCCAGUCUGGGUAACAGAGUGAGACUCUGUCUCAAGAAAAUUAAAAUAACAUAAAAUAAAACUUUUUUUUUUUUUUUUAGAUGGUGUCUUGCUCUGUCUCCCAGGCUGGGGUGCAGUGCCAUGAUCUCGGUUCACUGCAACCUCUGCCUCUCAGGUUCAAGCGAUUCUCCUGCCUCAG
rnacentral:SRP_RNA from 1 species